rnacentral:rRNA from 1 species
GUGUCAGCAGCCGCGGUAAUACGGAGGAUCCAAGCGUUAUCCGGAUUUAUUGGGUUUAAAGGGUGCGUAGGCGGCGUGCUAAGUCAGGGGUGAAAGACGACAGCUUAACUGUCGCAGUGCCUUUGAUACUGGCAUGCUUGAAUGUACAUGAGGUAGGCGGAAUGAGACAAGUAGCGGUGAAAUGCAUAGAUAUGUCUCAGAACACCGAUUGCGAAGGCAGCUUACUAAAGUAUUAUUGACGCUAAUGCACGAAAGCGUGGGGAUCAAACAGGAUUAGAUACCCUGGUAGUCCACGCCCUAAACGAUGAUAACUCGAUGUCGGCGAUAUACUGUCGGUGUCCAAGCGAAAGCAUUAAGUUAUCCACCUGGGGAGUACGCCCGCAAGGGUGAA